rnacentral:miRNA from 1 species
AUGCAGUUCACCUGAAGACCUUAUAAUAAUGCAGAUUCUGAUUUAGUAGUCCUGGAUACUGAGACUGUGCAUUUAUAGCAAGCUCCCAGGUGAAUGCACC